CAGUCGCCACGGUAAUACGUAGGGUGCAAGCGUUAAUCGGAAUUACUGGGCGUAAAGCGUGCGCAGGCGGUUUUGUAAGACAGAGGUGAAAUCCCCGGGCUCAACCUGGGAACUGCCUUUGUGACUGCAAGGCUAGAGUACGGCAGAGGGGGAUGGAAUUCCGCGUGUAGCAGUGAAAUACGUAGAUAUGCGGAGGAACACCGAUGGCGAAGGCAAUCCCCUGGGCCUGUACUGACGCUCAUGCACGAAAGCGUGGGGAGCAAACAGGAUUAGAUACCCCAGUAGUCCCUGUCUCUUAUAC
rnacentral:rRNA from 1 species